AUGAGAAAACGUUUCGAUUUUGCACAAAACACCCUGGCAUUUGGAGUAUUCAACACGCGGUCCGAGCAGCUUUGUAAAGAAAAAAAAGACAACCACACACGCACGGGCUCGCCUCCUCUCCCUCUUGCCGACGAAGUCACCGCCGCCGCCGCCCACGCCGGCCGCUUCCGGCGAUCUCUGGCGCCGCACAGCACGGCCCCGAGCUCCCCAUGCUCCGCGCCUCCCUCCCCUCCGGCCAGAUUCUCAUCUCCUGGCCUCUACCGCCCGCUCGCAACCACACCCCCGUGGCUAGGGUUCCGGGCAGUGCUUCGCCGGCGCGUCUCCGGCGGCCCCAGACGCAGAUGGAGCACGCCAUGGGAGUUCCCCAUCCACCAUGGUCGUCGUCGUCAAGGGCUUCUUCAAGGAGAUGUGAAGGACGCCAUGGACCUGCAGCUACUCAAGGUCCCUCAAAGAGAAGCGUUUUUCAUAUGCUCCUGA
rnacentral:rRNA from 1 species